rnacentral:rRNA from 1 species
AGAGUUUGAUCAUGGCUCAGGAUGAACGCUAGCUACAGGCUUAACACAUGCAAGUCGAGGGGAAACGAUAUUGGAAGCUUGCUUCCGAUAGGCGUCGACCGGCGCACGGGUGAGUAACGCGUAUCCAACCUGCCCACCACUUGGGGAUAACCUUGCGAAAGUAAGACUAAUACCCAAUGACGUCUCUAGAAGACAUCUGAAAGAGAUUAAAGAUUUAUCGGUGAUGGAUGGGGAUGCGUCUGAUUAGGCUUGUUGGCGGGGUAACGGCCACAAGGCUACGGAUCAGUAGGGGUUCUGAGAGGAAGGUCCCCCANAUUGGAACUGAGACACGGUCCAAACUCCUACGGGAGCA